rnacentral:rRNA from 1 species
CCUGGCGACCAUAGCGGUGUGGUCCCACCCGAUCCCAUCCCGAACUCGGAAGUGAAACGCACCCGCGCCGAUGGUAGUGUGGCUUAAGCCAUGCAAGAGUAGGUCAUCGCCAGGAUCUUCAUACCGCAAAGGCCCGAGACCCAACGUCUCGGGCCUUCGCUUUUGCGCCACCAGAAAUCCUACUCAGCCGAAGCGGCCGGAUCGGGGUGAACGGUGCGUGUUCCGUAAGCGUCUGCCGACGACACCUGUUUUCCCGGUCGCCAGCGGGGUUUGAUGGGCACCCUCAAUUCGAUGG